rnacentral:lncRNA from 1 species
UAUACCCAAUAUUGUCUAGAAUUUCAUUUAUAGGAAAAUAUUAGUUUCUGGUUUGCAAGAUAUUUUGUAGUUACAAAUUAUAUUCUAUUUGUAAGAAAGCUGGAAAAAUUAAACGUUUGUGAUGAUGAUAUAAUGAUGUCAUACAUUAGAUCUUUCAUGACUUCACACACUGAUAUCAUCCAUUGCAUGGUAUAAUGACAGCACUCAUUGCUAUGCCACAACGAUAUCACAUACUCCUGAGAUUUUGUGACAUCAUUCACUGUUAUUUUAUUAGUGCGUUCAAAAAGUCUAAUAUGUUAAACUUUUCUCAUGUUGAGUUAGCCUCGUUAUUGUAUAUACUUUUUGACCAGUUCAUUAGAGGAACAACAUGUCUGUCCUUAAGGAAGUUUUAAUAGGAGUUUUCAAAUGUUUGGAAGAUGCAUUUUUUCUGAUAAUUCUGAUAAAGAAAGAGAGUGGAAUGUAGUUAUAAGAGAACACAAUGCACGUGUGUAAAAACUAUAUUAAGAUGAUAUGCAUUUAUAUCCUAAACCAUUUAAUAAAUAGAUUUUAUCAAAAAUUUAUUUAAAAAUAGAUUUUAUCAAAAAUUUAUUUAAAAAUAACUUACUAUUAUUUACUGUACAUUAUAUCACAUGUGACAUUAUCCAUUUUUUGUCUCCUUGUAUACAACAAUUUACACAUGUAUUACACUGGAGGCCACAAUGUUUUUCACAAAGUAAACUUGCUACUUCUUUUGUCAGCUUUGUUAAACUUUCAUGCGAUGCAUCACAGCUAUGGAGCAUGCACAGUGGAUAGUAAAAUUAUCUUUUGACUGCCUUGUUAAAAAUGAAUUUAACACAUUAGACUUUUUGAAUACACCCUAUAUAUUGAAGCUAUUGUGAUAUCAUUGCUAUGUCAGAAUGAUGUCACACAUUCUGAAGUUUUAUGACAUCAUCCAUUGCUACUUUGCAUGUAAGGAACUGUUGUGACAUCAUUGCUGUAUCAUAUACUCUGGCAUUUUUAUAAUGUUGAUGUGACAUUAAUAUAUCACAGUGACAUACUAUGGCAUAUUGAUGCUCCACUCUGAAUAAAUGAACAACAUCCCAGAAUAUUAUGUGUCAUGUUAGUGAAACUAUGACUGCUUUUCUAUUUUAUAUUUUGCAAUCCCAACAAUAAUCAGAACAAGGUGAAGGAUUUAAACAUGCAUUUUAGAUUGACUCCAAAAUGCCCCAUCCUUAGGGCUAUUUUUAUCAAGAGUUGCCUUAUGUUACUUUGCAAAGCUUUGAUGCCAAUAGGUCAAAUGUUGUGGGAGCCUACGUGGACUAAACAUAUAGAAAGAAUGAUCCAAAUGUGGUCAAUUUUGGGUAUUCUAUGUAUCUGCAGGGUCAUGGGAAAUCACCAUACAAAGUUUGAUACUCUGAUAGGUCAAAUGCUGUAGGAGCUUAUGUAGAACAAACAUUGCAUUUGAUAUAUAUAUAAUAUACUGCUAUAUAUACUAUCAACUUUAUACAUACAUACAUAUAUAUAAAGUUGAUGGUAUAUAGCGGUAUAUUUGAUAUACUGUACAUACAAUCACUGCCUAAACAUUAAAGUCAGAUUGAUUAGUGGGCGCACAGCGCUGUGUGGCGGUUACGGG